rnacentral:rRNA from 1 species
AUGGAGGUGUGGCCGCCGCUGCUGGUUGUUAUCUUCACGCUCUAUGUUGUCUCUCCCUGCUGCGGCCUUGAGGCCGUGGCUAAGAACGUGACUGUGGCACAACUACUGCCGAUUUCGUCGUACCAUGGGGGUUUGGCUACCUACAAUGCCAAGAACUUCGGCGCUGAAGGCAACGGCACCAACGACGAUACCAAAGCGUUGAUGGCAGCAUGGAAGGCAGCGUGUGGUGCAUAUGGCACGGUGACGCUGUUGAUCCCGCCGGGGACGUACUACAUCGGGCCGACGAAGUUCCAUGGUCCCUGCAAAGCCUCCGCCAUCACCUUCUUGCUCCAGGGGACGCUCAAGGCGGCGACGGAUCUGAGGCGUUUUGGCAACGACUGGAUCGAGUUCGGGUGGGUGAAAGACCUCACUGUGACCGGACAGAACAAUGCCAUCAUCAAUGGCCAGGGCGCCGCCUCCUGGCCCUUCAACAAGUGUCCCUUCCAAAAGGACUGCAAAGUCCUCCCCACUAGCGUGCUGUUCGUGAACAACCAGAACACGGUGGUGCGCGACAUCACGUCGGUAAACAGCAAGUUCUUCCACAUCGCACUGCUGCAGAGUAAGAAUAUGAAGUUGAUCAACAUCCAGAUCAACGCGCCGGAGAACAGCCCAAACACAGAUGGCAUCCACAUCGAGCGAAGCACGGGUGUGGUGAUUUCCGACACCCAUAUCAGCACAGGAGAUGACUGCAUCUCCAUCGGCCAGGGGAGCGACAACAUCGACAUCGCCCGCGUCCACUGCGGCCCGGGGCACGGCAUGAGCGUCGGCAGCCUUGGACGGUACGUGGACGAGGGCGACGUCACCCGCGUCCACGUCAGGAACAUGACCUUCGUGGGCACCAUGAACGGCGUCCGGAUCAAGACGUGGGAGAACUCCCCUACCAAGAGCCUCGCCGCGCACAUGCUGUUCGAGAACAUGAUCAUGAAGGACGUGCAGAACCCCAUCAUCAUCGACCAGAAGUACUGCCCUUACUACGACUGCGAGCACAAGCACGUCUCCGGGGUCACCCUCAAGGACAUCACGUUCAAGAACAUCAAGGGGACGUCGUCGACGCCGGUGGCCGUGCGGCUCCGGUGCGGCGUGCCGUGCCAGGGCGUCGUGCUGCAGGACGUGGACCUGAAGUACAUGGGAGAGGGAGGGUCCUCGUCGAAGUGCGAGAACGCCAUGGCCACGUACGUUGGCUACCAGCACCCAGAGCCAUGCGCCUAG